rnacentral:rRNA from 1 species
GACGAACGCUGGCGGCGUGCCUAAUACAUGCAAGUAGAACGCUGAAGGAGGAGCUUGCUUCUCUGGAUGAGUUGCGAACGGGUGAGUAACGCGUAGGUAACCUGCCUGGUAGCGGGGGAUAACUAUUGGAAACGAUAGCUAAUACCGCAUAAGAGUAGAUGUCGCAUGACAUUUGCUUAAAAGGUGCAAUUGCAUCACUACCAGAUGGACCUGCGUUGUAUUAGCUAGUUGGUGAGGUAACGGCUCACCAAGGCAACGAUACAUAGCCGACCUGAGAGGGGGAUCGGCCACACUGGGACUGAGACACGGCCCAGACUCCAACGGGAGGCAGCAGUAGGGAAUCUUCGGCAAUGGACGGAAGUCUGACCGAGCAACGCCGCGUGAGUGAAGAAGGUUUUCGGAUCGUAAAGCUCUGUUGUAAGAGAAGAACGAGUGUGAGAGUGGAAAGUUCACACUGUGACGGUAUCUUACCAGAAAGGGACGGCUAACUACGUGC